UAGAUUGAAAGUUGGAUGGAUAAACUGGAGGAAGCUGAGAUUAAGUUCAGGAUGGCUAUCAAAACAACUGUGGCACUUAUAGCAAUAACGGUGGGAUAUUUUUGGUACGAGUACAUUUACAA